rnacentral:rRNA from 1 species
CCCUUAGAUGUUCUGGGCCGCACGCGCGCUACACUGAUGCAUUCAACGAGUCUAAAACCUGGUCUGAUAGGGCUGGGUAAUCUUUUGAAUGUGCAUCGUGAUUGGGAUAGAUGAUUGCAAUUCUUCAUCUUCAACGAGGAAUGCCUAGUAAACGCAAGUCAUCAGCUUGCAUUGAUUACGUCCCUGCCCUUUGUACACACCGCCCGUCGCUCCUACCGAUUGAAUGUUCCGAUGAAUACCAUGGACUGAGAGUACGAAUGGGUUCGCCUAUUUCUACUUCUCGGGAAGUGGAGUAAAUCUUAACAUUUAGAGGAAGGAGAAGUCGUAACAA